UUUUCCACGGUGCAGGGGUUUGGUGCUCUUAACCCCACACUGUUCAAGGCUCAACUGUACAACUAAAUCUACUCACAACACAAUGUGCUAUACCAGAAAGGGGUCAAUAGAAGAGUCCACUGAAAAUAUUCUGCUGGACCAGUUAAUGAUUGCUUUACACACACACACACACACACACACAGUCACAAGGUAGCACUGAAGAUCAGCGUUAUCACCCUCUUCAAGUAUAAUCUGGACACUGGUGGAUAUACUUGCAUGGCACGAGUUAGACUGCUCAGUUUUGGCAGUAAAAUUAUAGUCAUUUUGUUGUUGCUGUUUUUUGAUGGCUAGCAUCUGAUAAGCGGUAGAAAUCUGGUAACCAGAAACAGUGAUGCUCUGGAUACUAACAGAGAUGAUGGAAACAACAGGAUGAGCUGUGAAGGACGGUUGACAGCACUAAUGAAGUCAUUGCGUGGCUAAACCUUGUUCUGAAGACAGCUUCAGUCUCAAGGAAGAAAAUAACCUGGACUCCUAUUCUGAAAGACUUGACCCGUAAUAUAAAUCAGGGCACAAAAAACAGCACUGUCCAGUUGCAAUGACUAUCAUGAUGAGCCCCUGACCUUCAGCACUGAGUGCAAUUGAUCUAGCUAUUACUGUUUACUUAAUGGAAAAAUCUCUCUCCUGCUUUCAGAUUUGUCCCAAGGCUUAGCCACAAGAAUACCUCUUGUGCACUAAGGAGCAUGUACAAUUCCAGGUUUUAGAGAUUUAGCAGUGAAUAAGACAACUGGAAGAUAAAUGACAGAAGGGACAUCUGAGGCCUGGAGCGUGUACAGGGAAAGAGCUCUGACCAUGUCCAAAGUCAGGGUGUGCACACCCUACACAUCACUGAGUAUUUCACCUCUCAUUUGCUAUAUGCAGAAGCACAGGAACCCAUCCACCCUUGCUCAAGGAGUCAUGGUUUUGGAAGUUAUUCCCUACGAUCGCCUUGGAUGUGCUGCAAAUAAAGUUUCCUCUGUUUGACGACUCACCUGAUGCAGUUUCUAUCUGUGACUCACCAAGGAGUGAACUCACAUUAGUUCGGUUACAAUAGAGGGAGCGGCUAUCACCUGCUGACCUCACAUAGGUAGAUUCUACUUAAUUUUGCUGAUCGUCUUUCUCCUCACACGAAGAUGUAAACUCUGUGAAGAGAGUUUUCCUGUCUGUUUUGUUCAUGACCGCAUUCCCGGUGGGAGAACAGUGUCUGAUAACUAGUAGGUGCUCAGUGAGUGUUUAUUAAAGAAAUCACUGGACUGAA